AACACAUGCAAGUCGAACGGCAGCACAGAGGAGCUUGCUCCUUGGGUGGCGAGUGGCGGACGGGUGAGGAAUACAUCGGAAUCUACUCUGUCGUGGGGGAUAACGUAGGGAAACUUACGCUAAUACCGCAUACGACCUACGGGUGAAAGCAGGGGAUCUUCGGACCUUGCGCGAUUGAAUGAGCCGAUGUCGGAUUAGCUAGUUGGCGGGGUAAAGGCCCACCAAGGCGACGAUCCGUAGCUGGUCUGAGAGGAUGAUCAGCCACACUGGAACUGAGACACGGUCCAGACUCCUACGGGAGGCAGCAGUGGGGAAUAUUGGACAAUGGGCGCAAGCCUGAUCCAGCCAUACCGCGUGGGUGAAGAAGGCCUUCGGGUUGUAAAGCCCUUUUGUUGGGAAAGAAAUCCAGCCGGCUAAUACCUGGUUGGGAUGACGGUACCCAAAGAAUAAGCACCGGCUAACUUCGUGCCAGCAGCCGCGGUAAUAC
rnacentral:rRNA from 1 species